ACGGCUCAGUAACACGUGGUCAAGCUACCCUGUGGACCAGGACACUCUCGGGAAACUGAGGCUAAUCCUGGAUAGCGUUUCCAGCCUGGAGUGGCGGAAACGCCAAACGCUCCGGCGCCGCAGGAUGCGACUGCGGCCGAUUAGGUAGACGGUGGGGUAACGGCCCACCGUGCCGAUAAUCGGUACGGGUAGUGAGAGCUAGAGCCCGGAGACGGACUCUGAGACAAGAGUCCGGGCCCUACGGGGCGCAGCAGGCGCGAAACCUUUACACUGCGCGACAGCGCGAUAGGGGGACCCCAAGUGCGAGGGCAUACAGUCCUCGCUUUUUCCGACCGUAAGGUGGUCGGCGAAUAAGAGCUGGGCAAGACCGGUGCCAGCCGCCGCGGUAAUACCGGCAGCUCGAGUGAUGGCCGCUAUUAUUGGGCCUAAAGCGUCCGUAGCCGGCUAGACAGGUCCGUCGGGAAAUCCACCCGCUCAACGGGUGGGCGUCCGGCGGAAACCAGCUAGCUUGGGACCGAGCGACCUGAGGGGUACGUCUGGGGUAGGAGUGAAAUCCCGUAAUCCCGGACGGACCAUCGGUGGCGAAAGCGCCUCAGGAGAGCGGAUCCGACGGUGAGGGACGAAAGCUAGGGUCUCGAACCGGAUUAGAUACCCGGGUAGUCCUAGCCGUAAACGAUGCUCGCUAGGUGUGGCGCUGGCUACGAGCCAGCGCUGUGCCGUAGGGAAGCCGUGAAGCGAGCCGCCUGGGAAGUACGUCCGCAAGGAUGAAACUUAAAGGAAUUGGCGGGGGAGCAC
rnacentral:rRNA from 1 species